CUUCAACCCCGGUUCUCCACAAUACCUCUGCUUGAUCGUCGUUGCUCCUUACCCGGUUCACUCACCCUUGUCUUCAGUCAGUCAGCUGGGCUCGCUCACCUGCUCUUUCCCCCUCGGGCUACCCCUGCGGCGUCCUCCCAGUUCUCCUGUGCCUCCUCUCUUCCUCGGCCCCAAUGUCCCCCGGCUCUCUGUUCUCUGUCUCCUCAAUUCCCCGUGCCUGUGUUUCCCCGGCAACUCCAGUCCCACAACCCCUUCUUUCCUCUAAUAAAACCUGUCAAACCUGA